GACGAACGCUGGCGGCGUGCUUAACACAUGCAAGUCGAACGGAAAGGCCCUGCUUUUGUGGGGUGCUCGAGUGGCGAACGGAUGAGUAACACGUGAGUAACCUGCCCUUGACUUUGGGAUAACUUCAGGAAACUGGGGCUAAUACCGGAUAGGAGCUCCUGCUGCAUGGUGGGGGUUGGAAAGUUUCGGCGGUUGGGGAUGGACUCGCGGCUUAUCAGCUUGUUGGUGGGGUAGUGGCUUACCAAGGCUUUGACGGGUAGCCGGCCUGAGAGGGUGACCGGCCACAUUGGGACUGAGGUACGGCCCAGACUCCUACGGGAGGCAGCAGUGGGGAAUAUUGCACAAUGGGCGGAAGCCUGAUGCAGCAACGCCGCGUGCGGGAUGACGGCCUUCGGGUUGUAAACCGCUUUCGCCUGUGACGAAGCGUGAGUGACGGUAAUGGGUAAAGAAGCACCGGCUAACUACGUG
rnacentral:rRNA from 1 species